CCUACGUGAGGCAGCAGUGAGGAAUAUUGGUCCAUGUGCGGAAGCCUGAACCAGCCAAGUAGCGUGCAGGAUGACGGCCCUACGGGUUGUAAACUGCUUUUAUACGGGAAUAACGCGCCUUACGUGUAGGGCUUUGCAUGUACCGUAUGAAUCAGGACCGUCUAAUUACGUGCCAGCAGCCGCGGUAAUACGGAAGGUCCGGGCGUUAACCGUAUUUAUUGGGGUUAAAGGGCGCGUAGGCCGCAUGUCCAGCGUGCUGUGAAAUGUCCGGGCUCAACCCGGGCCUUGCAGCGCGAACUGGCGUGCGUGAGUCCGCGGAAAGCAGGCGGAAGUCGUGGUGUAGCGGUGAAAUGCUUAGAUAUGACGAAGAACACCGAUUGCGAAGGCAGCUUGCUGCAGCGGAACUGACGCUGAUGCUCGAAAGCGCGGGUAUCGAACAGGAUUAGAUACACGUGUAGUC
rnacentral:rRNA from 1 species